rnacentral:lncRNA from 12 species
AAUGAGGUCAGUGUAUUGGCUCUAAUCUGGAUGCCUUGGGCUGAGUGGAUCAGCCAGUGACAGCAGCAUGGCCUCUGACUCAGCUGCCUCUGUGUUCAACUCUUUUCCUUUAGAUUCCUCUCCAAAUCAUGGUAAAGAUGUCCCCAGCAGCUCCACACUACAUGAACCUCAGUACUCAUUCUCCCAGAGGGAGACUAAUUCUCUCCUGUGCAGUGUCCAUAUUAAACUCAGGUAUAUUGGAUUUCUAAAAUCAUGCUCUCACUCCUGGACUGUGGAAGGGAAAAACUUAUCAUCGAUCUGGAUCAUGCCCAUUCUGUAAAAUACCAGGACACCUGGAGAAGUCAUUAUGAAUAAAAAUAGGUCUGUUCCUCAACCCGAUUCCUUAGCAGGGGCAUUCAAACAUCAACAAGGACACUGCAAAUGCCCCAUGAAACCUGACCUGGGUUGGUGAUGGUGUCCCCAAGUGACAGAUUUACUUGGCUGCGCCACCGGAAUCUCUGAGUGGGAAGUGAAGGGACCCAGCGUGUGUCUGAGAGCUCUGUGACUGGCUCAGCCAACACCACCCAGGGAACAGUGCCUGAAACCCAACCGGCCUCGAGUCAGAGGUGGGGAAGCCCUAAAGAUGUGUUCCCAUGACUCACACUGUGACCUGCAAACAGCCAGUGGGUGCAAUGCCUAGGGAGCGUUGACUUAGCACGGUGACUUUGCCCCUGCCACUCCUGGGUGAUUUUGAUUUGGACUGAAACAAA